AUCUCAAAUCAGGUAGGAUUACCCGCUGAACUUA
rnacentral:rRNA from 1 species